rnacentral:misc_RNA from 1 species
GAAAUGCGAUAAGUAAUGUGAAUUGCAGAAUUCAGUGAAUCAUCGAAUCUUUGAACGCACAUUGCGCCCGCCAGUAUUCUGGCGGGCAUGCCUGUUCGAGCGUCAUUACAACCCUCAGGCCCCCGGGCCUGGCGUUGGGGAUCGGCGGAAGCCCCCUGCGGGCACAACGCCGUCCCCCAAAUACAGUGGCGGUCCCGCCGCAGCUUCCAUUGCGUAGUAGCUAACAUCUCGCAACUGGAGAGCGGCGCGGCCACGCCGUAAAACACCCAACUUCUGAAUGUUGACCUCGAAUCAGGUAGGAAUACCCGCUGAACUUAAGC